UACGGGAGGCAGCAGUGGGGAAUAUUGGACAAUGGGCGGAAGCCUGAUCCAGCCAUGCCGUGUGUGUGAAGAAGGCCUUUUGGUUGUAAAGCACUUUAAGCGAGGAGGAGGCUACUAGUAUUAAUACUACUGGAUAGUGGACGUUACUCGCAGAAUAAGCACCGGCUAACUCUGUGCCAGCAGCCGCGGUAAUACAGAGGGUGCGAGCGUUAAUCGGAUUUACUGGGCGUAAAGCGUGCGUAGGCGGCUUUUUUAAGUCGGAUGUGAAAUCCCCGAGCUUAACUUGGGAAUUGCAUUCGAUACUGGGAAGCUAGAGUAUGGGAGAGGAUGGUAGAAUUCCAGGUGUAGCGGUGAAAUGCGUAGAGAUCUGGAGGAAUACCGAUGGCGAAGGGCAGCCAUCUGGGCCUAAUCUGACGCUGAGGUCGAAAGCAUGGGGAGGCAAACAAGGGAAUUAGGAUACC
rnacentral:rRNA from 1 species